rnacentral:rRNA from 1 species
GCUUAACACAUGCAAGUCGAGGGGCAUCAGGAAGAAAGCUUGCUUUCUUUGCUGGCGACCGGCGCACGGGUGAGUAACACGUAUCCAACCUGCCCUUUACUCGGGGAUAGCCUUUCGAAAGAAAGAUUAAUACCCGAUAGCAUAAUGAUUCCGCAUGGUUUCAUUAUUAAAGGAUUCCGGUAAAGGAUGGGGAUGCGUUCCAUUAGGUUGUUGGUGAGGUAACGGCCCACCAAGCCUUCGAUGGAUAGGGGUUCUGAGAGGAAGGUCCCCCACAUUGGAACUGAGACACGGUCCAAACUCCUACGGGAGGCAGCAGUGAGGAAUAUUGGUCAAUGGGCGCUAGCCUGAACCAGCCAAGUAGCGUGAAGGAUGAAGGCUCUAUGGGUCGUAAACUUCUUUUAUAUAAGAAUAAAGUGCAGUAUGUAUACUGUUUUGUAUGUAUUAUAUGAAUAAGGAUCGGCUAACUCCGUGCCAGCAGCCGCGGUAAUACGGAGGAUCCGAGCGUUAUCCGGAUUUAUUGGGUUUAAAGGGAGCGUAGGUGGACUGGUAAGUCAGUUGUGAAAGUUUGCGGCUCAACCGUAAAAUUGCAGUUGAUACUGUCAGUCUUGAGUACAGUAGAGGUGGGCGGAAUUCGUGGUGUAGCGGUGAAAUGCUUAGAUAUCACGAAGAACUCCGAUUGCGAAGGCAGCUCACUGGACUGCAACUGACACUGAUGCUCGAAAGUGUGGGUAUCAAACAGGAUUAGAUACCCUGGUAGUCCACACAGUAAACGAUGAAUACUCGCUGUUUGCGAUAUACAGUAAGCGGCCAAGCGAAAGCAUUAAGUAUUCCACCUGGGGAGUACGCCGGCAACGGUGAAACUCAAAGGAAUUGACGGGGGCCCGCACAAGCGGAGGAACGUGUGGUUUAAUUCGAUGAUACGCGAGGAACCUUACCCGGGCUUAAAUUGCAGUGGAAUGAUGUGGAAACAUGUCAGUGAGCAAUCACCGCUGUGAAGGUGCUGCAUGGUUGUCGUCAGCUCGUGCCGUGAGGUGUCGGCUUAAGUGCCAUAACGAGCGCAACCCUUAUCUUUAGUUACUAACAGGUUAUGCUGAGGACUCUAGAGAGACUGCCGUCGUAAGAUGUGAGGAAGGUGGGGAUGACGUCAAAUCAGCACGGCCCUUACGUCCGGGGCUACACACGUGUUACAAUGGGGGGUACAGAAGGCAGCUAGCGGGUGACCGUAUGCUAAUCCCAAAAUCCUCUCUCAGUUCGGAUCGAAGUCUGCAACCCGACUUCGUGAAGCUGGAUUCGCUAGUAAUCGCGCAUCAGCCACGGCGCGGUGAAUACGUUCCCGGGCCUUGUACACACCGCCCGUCAAGCCAUGGGAGCCGGGGGUACCUGAAGUACGUAACCGCAAGGAUCGUCCUAGGGUAAAACUGGUGACUGGGGC